AUUUCACAUCAUUUGUCAUCACUUUGCAUGUUUAGGAUAGUUUUGCAUGCAUGUUGCAUAUUUGCGUUGAUUUCAGGUGAUUUGGAGCUGUUGACGAGCUAUCUGGAAGAAGCGGACCUGAUCAUGACAAACCACUCGACCCAAAGGUCGAGUAGGAGCUUCAAGAUCUCAAGAGACCACUCGACCACCAGGUCGAGUAGAGGACAUCACUACUUCACUUCACCACUCGACCCCGAGGUCGAGUGCCCUCGUCUCCAUCACUCGAUCGCUUCACUCGACCAUGAGGUCGAGUGUCUUCACCUCCAUCACCAGACAACCACUCGACCUCUUCACUCUACCUAGAGGUCGAGUAUCGCCAUCACACCACUCGACUGCAUACUCGAUGACAAGCUUCAGAGCCUUCUUCAUUCCGCACUCAACCAGACACUCGAGCACAAGGAAGAAAAGAAGACUCCAGCUAUUCACUCGACCUCUCACUCGACCACCUGGGUCGAGUACAGUUCUUAACCCGUCCAAAUACUUCGUCGUUUUGAGUAUUAGAGUUUCGGAUAUUUGGCUAUAAGUAGCAUGUACUUCUCAUUUUCGCAGGACAAGAAGUUUUUUACCUAGUUUUAUUUCCGCGGACCUUGUGUUCUAGACUUUUUGUAAUCCGGAUUUCUAUUUAUCUAUUCAGUAUUCAGUAUUCAGUUUCUGUUCUUGAUUUUCGUUUACUGUUGUUCAUUCUGUUAUCAUACUG
rnacentral:sRNA from 1 species